AAAUUGAAGAGUUUGAUCAUGGCUCAGAUUGAACGCUGGCGGCAGGCCUAACACAUGCAAGUCGAGCGGUAGCACAGAGAGCUUGCUCUCGGGUGACGAGCGGCGGACGGGUGAGUAAUGUCUGGGAAACUGCCUGAUGGAGGGGGAUAACUACUGGAAACGGUAGCUAAUACCGCAUAACGUCGCAAGACCAAAGUGGGGGACCUUCGGGCCUCAUGCCAUCAGAUGUGCCCAGAUGGGAUUAGCUAGUAGGUGGGGUAACGGCUCACCUAGGCGACGAUCCCUAGCUGGUCUGAGAGGAUGACCAGCCACACUGGAACUGAGACACGGUCCAGACUCCUACGGGAGGCAGCAGUGGGGAAUAUUGCACAAUGGGCGCAAGCCUGAUGCAGCCAUGCCGCGUGUGUGAAGAAGGCCUUCGGGUUGUAAAGCACUUUCAGCGGGGAGGAAGGCGGUGAGGUUAAUAACCUCAUCGAUUGACGUUACCCGCAGAAGAAGCACCGGCUAACUCCGUGCCAGCAGCCGCGGUAAUACGGAGGGUGCAAGCGUUAAUCGGAAUUACUGGGCGUAAAGCGCACGCAGGCGGUCUGUCAAGUCGGAUGUGAAAUCCCCGGGCUCAACCUGGGAACUGCAUUCGAAACUGGCAGGCUAGAGUCUUGUAGAGGGGGUAGAAUUCCAGGUGUAGCGGUGAAAUGCGUAGAGAUCUGGAGGAAUACCGGUGGCGAAGGCGGCCCCUGGACAAAGACUGACGCUCAGGUGCGAAAGCGUGGGGAGCAAACAGGAUUAGAUACCCUGGUAGUCCACGCCGUAAACGAUGUCGAUUUGGAGGUUGUGCCCUUGAGGCGUGGCUUCCGGAGCUAACGCGUUAAAUCGACCGCCUGGGGAGUACGGCCGCAAGGUUAAAACUCAAAUGAAUUGACGGGGGCCCGCACAAGCGGUGGAGCAUGUGGUUUAAUUCGAUGCAACGCGAAGAACCUUACCUGGUCUUGACAUCCACAGAACUUUCCAGAGAUGGAUUGGUGCCUUCGGGAACUGUGAGACAGGUGCUGCAUGGCUGUCGUCAGCUCGUGUUGUGAAAUGUUGGGUUAAGUCCCGCAACGAGCGCAACCCUUAUCCUUUGUUGCCAGCGGUUAGGCCGGGAACUCAAAGGAGACUGCCAGUGAUAAACUGGAGGAAGGUGGGGAUGACGUCAAGUCAUCAUGGCCCUUACGACCAGGGCUACACACGUGCUACAAUGGCAUAUACAAAGAGAAGCGACCUCGCGAGAGCAAGCGGACCUCAUAAAGUAUGUCGUAGUCCGGAUUGGAGUCUGCAACUCGACUCCAUGAAGUCGGAAUCGCUAGUAAUCGUAGAUCAGAAUGCUACGGUGAAUACGUUCCCGGGCCUUGUACACACCGCCCGUCACACCAUGGGAGUGGGUUGCAAAAGAAGUAGGUAGCUUAACCUUCGGGAGGGCGCUUACCACUUUGUGAUUCAUGACUGGGGUGAAGUCGUAACAAGGUAACCGUAGGGGAACCUGCGGUUGGAUCACCUCCUUA
rnacentral:rRNA from 1 species